rnacentral:rRNA from 1 species
GACGGAGGAUGCAAGCGUUAUCCGGAAUGAUUGGGCGUAAAGCGUCCGCAGGUGGCAGUUCAAGUCUGCUGUCAAAGACCGGGGCUUAACUUCGGAAAGGCAGUGGAAACUGAACAGCUAGAGUAUGGUAGGGGCAGAGGGAAUUCCUGGUGUAGCGGUGAAAUGCGUAGAUAUCAGGAAGAACGUCGGUGGCGAAGGCGCUCUGCUGGACCGCAACUGACACUCAGGGACGAAAGCUAGGGGAGCGAAUGGG